UACGUAGGGUGCAAGCGUUGUCCGGAAUUAUUGGGCGUAAAGAGCUUGUAGGCGGUUUGUCGCGUCUGCUGUGAAAUUUCGGGGCUCAACCCCGAACUUGCAGUGGGUACGGGCAGACUAGAGUGUGGUAGGGGAGACUGGAAUUCCUGGUGUAGCGGUGAAAUGCGCAGAUAUCAGGAGGAACACCGAUGGCGAAGGCAGGUCUCUGGGCCAUAACUGACGCUGAGAAGCGAAAGCCAGGGGAGCAAACGGG
rnacentral:rRNA from 1 species